rnacentral:rRNA from 1 species
UACGUAGGGUGCGAGCGUUGUCCGGAUUUACUGGGCGUAAAGCGUGUGUAGGUGGCUUCCUAAGUCGGUUGUGAAAUCCCUGGGCUCAACCUGGGAAUUGCAGUCGAUACUGGGAAGCUCGAGUUCGGUAGAGGACGGCGGAAUUCCCGGUGUAGCGGUGAAAUGCGUAGAUAUCAGGAGGAACACCGGUGGCGAAGGCGGGUCUCUGGGCCGAUAUCGACGCUGAGGAGCGAAAGCGUGGGGAGCGAACAGG